AACGAACGCUGGCGGCAUGCCUAACACAUGCAAGUCGAACGAGACCUUCGGGUCUAGUGGCGCACGGGUUCGUAACGCGUGGGAACCUGCCCUUAGGUUCGGAAUAACUCCCCGAAAGGGGUGCUAAUACCGGAUAAUUUCUUCUGACCAAAGAUUUAUCGCCUUUGGAUGGGCCCGCGUUGGAUUAGCUUGUUGGUAGGGUAAAAGCCUACCAAGGCGACGAUCCAUAGCUGGUCUGAGAGGAUGAUCAGCCACACUGGGACUGAGACACGGCCCAGACUCCUACGGGAGGCAGCAGUGGGGAAUAUUGGACAAUGGGCGAAAGCCUGAUCCAGCAAUGCCGCGUGAGUGAUGAAGGCCUUAGGGUUGUAAAGCUCUUUUACCCGGGAUGAUAAUGACAGUACCGGGAGAAUAAGCGCCGGCUAACUCCGUG
rnacentral:rRNA from 1 species